rnacentral:sRNA from 1 species
CAGGUUCUGCUCUUCGCGUGCGUGGCCCUUUUCCAGUGGCCUAUACGCAUGUCCGAGGGGGCUGGCUCUGGCACGGUCCUGGCCGUGUUAUCUGGCGCCCACCUGAACUUCAGGUUCUCGGAAAUUCACGCCGCCACGGUCGCUGCGGGCCUGCC